rnacentral:lncRNA from 10 species
AGAACCGCCUUCAGGCGUUUGGACUCAGUGGAGGUUGUGAGUGCCCAGCAGUGUGGCCUGAAUCUCCGUGGGGUUUAGGGAGACGAAAGGACCCCAGAUCGACGUCCCCUCGUUCCCACUUUGGGGAUCGGCGCUCUGGCUGUUUCGUGAAGGAGAGAGAGGUUGAUUCCAUACCCUGGCUAUUGUGAAUAAUGCUGCAGUGAACAUGGGAGUACAUACAUCUGUUUGAGGAACUCAGAGUGGUUUUCCAGAUGGGAAUCACAUUGCUCUCUGUCCCUGAGAUCUUGCUGGAGACAGGGCUACUCAGUCCCUCUUUGCCAGGUAAUCUGUUCCAGAAGAAACAUGUGUCGUUCUGACUGAGCCCCUGCCUGUCUGUCACCUUAAGAGCCAGUCAAUUCAUAUGGUCCCCAUAUCAAAGUCUCCUGUGCCCAGAGAGAGGAUUUCAUUUCAACCAUCACCAUCACCACCAUCAUCAUCAUCACCAAGAGAUGUUGUUGAAUUGAUACUGGAAAAGCAGUUUCUAUUGAGCCCCCAAAUGAAGAGUGAGUGCAGAUGAAGAGGAGGCAGGACUCACAAGCCCUUGAACUUUAUUCCAGAUCUGUUAGCACCUACAGGACCCUGCACCAGGAUUUCAUCUGUACUAUCAGCUUCUUCAAAGAGAGAGAGGUUGUUGAAUUGAUAUUGGAAAAGCAGUUUCCCAUUGAGUCUCAAAUGAAGAGAGUGCAGAUGAAGAGGAGGUAGGAGUCACAAGCCCUUGACCCUCAUGCUAGACCCAUUACCACCCACAGGACCUUGCAGUGGGAUUUCAUCUGCACCAUCAGCUUCUUCAGAGAGAGAG